GUUAAAGAAAAAUGUAUACAAAAUAUCAGUUAUUAUGGGAAAAUGUACCAAAAUGUAAUUUAGUUCUAGUUCUCUAGUUGUCCACUAAGCUUACAACCAACAAUACAAAAUGGAUCAAUCUGAAUCUCCAACGAAAAUCAAAUACAAAUUCCAUUUAACCGCAAAAGUAUUUUACAAAUAAAAUGUAUCUGCAAAGUAAACAAACAAAAGUGCAAUGAACCAAACCGCAAGAACAUCAGCUCGAACAGACAACGCAGUAAAAUCGUACAUGGGAUUUUUUGGAAAUUUUCCAUAUCAAGAUGCGACGUUUUUCUUGAUCAACAUCGUCUGAAAGUUUUUAAUUUCAAUUUUCUCUGUUCGUUCGUCCCCUGUUGUGUCAUCUUGAUAGACAAAUUGAAAUAAAUAGCUGAAGAUACAUCAGACGAAUGCCAAACGUAUUGAUUUUCAUCUCAGGGAUUGAAGGAGGUGGCUGAGCUGGAAGAUAGCAGAUGCUCUUAGGCUGCUGCCACCGCCUAGGAUGAAGUUAAUUUAUCCAGUUUUGGUUACUCAAUUCAGCAGUUUGGCUUAGUCGUGUAUGAACUGAAUUAUUAAUGAAACCCCAAAGUGGGGGAGCAGCACGAAAGAAAUUUAUUGUGUGCCGGAGUUGGUUGAUGUCAAAACGAAUGCCAGAACAAUGAUAAAUUAAUUAGCAACGAGAAAAGGCCAAGCAACACGUGCCACAAAUGUGUAAUAACUAAUUAAAGACGUUCCAAAACUUGCCCCAAGAUUCUAGUAGAUCUUCCUUAAAGCCAAAAUCUCUCUCCUCUCUGUCUGGCUAUGGCUCUGGCUCUGGCUCUGCCUCUGCCUCUGGCUUAUCUUAUCUAACAAGCCGAGUGGAAAGCAUAAUUCGCUGUUGCGGGAAACAAUGGCCGGGGCAGGACACCUUGGUUGUCUGUUGAUAAUUACAAGGACAAGGCGAUAAGGAUAAGCGACAACUGCAGUCCAUUCACCAAAAUCUAAUUCAACGAACAAUGGCCCAGAGAGCAAGCAAGAACAGAGACACAGAGGCCCCUGCUCCGCCAACCAGAUGAGCUCCAUGCAAAGGACGAUGACCAAAAAGAGAUGAUACCAAAUUGCAAACAAUGCGGCAAAACUUUUCCUGGUUGUAAUUAAGCUAGAAGUGUACUCAUAGAGUGGGAGUGAUGGCCAGAGAGAUUGGGUAUCUGCAUUUAAAUUGCAUUCCGCAUUACGCAUACGUCCGGUGUUCCAUUCAAAUUAGUCAAAACACCUAUUUAUAGGCUGACAGCGGCUGGUUCAUCAGAGACCUGUCAGAGGCCUCAUCACCUGCCAAUAUCUUUGCCUGUCUCUAUCUUCUAUCCCAACGCCUGCACUGCAUAAUUUAUGCUUUGCCCGUAGGCCAUCACUCAUAAACCCCAUUGUCUGUCCAACGGCGUGUCUGGAUCGCACUUGACAAAAUAUCUCAACUUCCUCAUUAUCUGAACAGAAAUUUCCAACGUUUUCCCAUCCUUUUCUAGAUUUAAUUUGAUUAGUUUCCCCGUUAAUAAAACUUCCCCUUGUAACCAACAAAAGUCAAAAGGCACGAAGUCAAAGAGCGUUCGCGGUUUCCCAUUUCACACAGAAACCAAAAAAAGGAAGAGUUUGAGGAAGAGUAGAAUAAGAGUAGAGUUAGGAAAAGAGAAAUGCUAACAGAAAAACGAGAAUGUCUGGCGAAGAAUGGGAUACCCCUG
rnacentral:lncRNA from 1 species